rnacentral:lncRNA from 1 species
AAAAAUAAUUCAUUAAGAGAAAAGAUUACAAGGUGAUUACCGACUCCACGAACUCGACCUCUCUUAACCUCUUACGAACCUCCGCGUAAUCCUCCGGGUUGUCCACGCCCUCACGUUCAAAUCCACGAACGCCACGUUCCGAGUCAACGAAACGCCACCACUUCGAAUCCACGAAACUCCACCACUUCGAAUCCACGAAGCUAUCGAUUCGAAUCCUCAAACCCUUGACAACGUCGAAUCCACGACGCCUCACGUCGAAUCCACGACGUCGUUCAUGAGAAGCAUCAUGAGUAUUGUGAUCCUUCGCUUAGAGUAUCGUAGAAAACCAAGGAAGAGAACUCCAAGUGAAGCGUAGAUCAAAUCGACAUAUAGAUCGAAAAUUCCAAUACCUCGAUUUGACCUAAAAGAUGCUAAUAUGUAGAAAAUAGGUUUUAAAUGAAAUCCGAGCCUUUAGGGUUUCUCAAACAUGUAUUUUCAUGAUGUUUAAUGAGUUAGAGAACCCCCAAUAGCUUAUUUAUAGGCUUUAGAAUCAAUUGGAGUCGGAUUAGAAAGUUUUCACAAUUUUACACUGUGUACCGGUACACUUUAAGCUGUUACCAAUUAUAUGAUGAUGGAACGAAAAAACCUGACGAAACAUAAAACCGGUUACAUGUUGAUGGUUGUACCGGUACACAUUUUGUACCGGUACACUUCUGAUGCUGUACCGGUACACUUUGCAAAUUUCCACCGUUUCGGGUUUUGCAAAAUUUCGAUGCACUUUCUAAUCCAGUAAACUUUGAUAUUAUGAUUCUAAUGCCUACAACUAAGUAUAAAUCACCAUAACAUGAAAUAAAAUUUGACCUGAGCAUCGUGAUUCACGUCGUGAGUUAUUUUUCAAUUUCUUCGAAGUCUUUCAUUCUUCGAUCUUCGUCGAUUCGCUUUGAUCCUUCAAGACUCCGACUCACUUCACGAAACUUGCCAAUACAAAAUCCUUAACAGCAUGAAGAAACAUAUUAGCAAAUUCGUGACAAAACUCACAACAACGCAAAAAUUACAACUGAAAAAAGAGCGCCGGUUUCCGGCGGGAAAGUUGCAAAGCAUAUCUAUACCCAUUUGGAAAUGGGAGAAUAUCGCAAUGGACUUCGUAACCGGUUUGCUUCAAUCACAAGGCGGACACAGCGCAAUUUGGGUGAUAGUGGACCGAUUGACGAAGUCGGCGCACUUUUUGCCGAUUCAUACUACGUGGUCGGGAGACAAGUUGGCUCAAGUACAUCUCGACGAGGUUGUAAGGCUUCAUGGGGUUUCCGUGUCUAUUGUAUCGGAUCGAGACCCGAGGUUCACGUCUCACUUUUGGAGGAGCCUACAGGAUGUGAUGGGCACACGGCUCAAUUUUAGUAUGGCAUUUCAUCCUCGGUUCGGUAAUCCGACGAGUCUAAGUAAUGAUUUUGGGUAAAAAGCCUAAUUUGGCUUCGUUAUAGGCAUCAAAAAAUUCUAAGAAUUGAACCAUAGCACCCUUGCAACCAUACGAGGUGGGUGGUGCAUUCCGAAAACGUUGAAUUUCCUCUUAUGUCUAGAGUGUCAUUCUUGAGCAUAUGUUUGUAUACUUUGUUCAUGCAUUGUAGGGUGAGUAGAAUGUGUAAAAUUGCAUGCUUAGAGUAUAAGAUGUAUUCGAGAUAUUAUGAGUUAUUGAAAACAUCUUAAACCCUAUGUUUGCAUGAAAAGUAAUAAAGACCUAGAUGAGGUAUAGAACGAAAUGACAUUAUGACAUAUAGAUUGUGUGGCAUUAAUAUACACAUAGAGUGUGGCAUCAAAGAGUUUGAAUGCUAGAGUUUGACACUUAGUGAGUGUGGCAUUAGUGAAUGAGUAUAAAGAACAAAGUAGUGUAUAUGACACUAGUGAAAGUUAAAGAAUGCAAGAAAAGAGAGAUAGUGACACUGUGACAUAGUAACCUUAAAGUUAAGGGUCACAUGAGCAUUGAAAUCUUUAAAGCUAAGAAUUGAUCAUACUCGCCUAUAGUCUUGGCUUGAGGAAGGUCGCUCCUCCUCGAGCGAUAAGCUCCGGAGUUGUCAUCACUAAGAAGGGAAUCCCCAGAAGAACGUUCCAUCGGGAGGAAGCUGAGAGCCCGAUAUUAGGGAUUUGAGUUGGUGAGUUAUAGAACCCUGCGGGAGGAAGCUGAGGGCCCGACGGGUUAGCCACGAGAUUGUGUAAAGGAAAAGUAAACUUGCAUUCAUCAUGAGCAUUUCAUUGAGCAUAUGAUUGAUUAUAUUUUGUUCAGGCAUAUUAGCUGCAUUUGUUAGUUUGUUACUAUCCAUUCUUUUUUCUAUUAUGCCUGAUUUAGACCUAGUAGGAAAGUCGGCGAGGUCGGCAGCCGAACCUACUAGGAACUUUGUUGUAGUUCUCACCCAUNACAAGGUGAUUACCGACUCCACGAACUCGACCUCUCUUAACCUCUUACGAACCUCCGCGUAAUCCUCCGGGUUGUCCACGCCCUCACGUUCGAAACCACGAACGCCACGUUCCGAGUCCACGAAAUGCCACCACUUCGAAUCCACGAAGCUCCACUACUUCGAAUCCACGAAGCUAUCGAUACGAAUCCUCGAACUCUUGACCACGUCGAAUCCACGACACCUCAGGCCGAAUCCACGACGCCGUUCAUGAGAAGC